UACGUAGGGCGCAAGCGUUGUCCGGAAUUAUUGGGCGUAAAGAGCUCGUAGGCGGCCUGUUGCGUCCGCUGUGAAAUCCCGGGGCUUAACCCCGGGCGUGCAGUGGAUACGGGCAGGCUGGAGGCAGGCAGGGGGGAACGGAAUUCCCGGUGUAGCGGUGAAAUGCGCAGAUAUCGGGAGGAACACCGGUGGCGAAGGCGGUUCUCUGGGCCUGUACUGACGCUGAGGAGCGAAAGCGUGGGGAGCGAACAGG
rnacentral:rRNA from 1 species